GACGGAGGGGGCAAGCGUUGUUCGGAAUUAUUGGGCGUAAAGGGCGCGUAGGCGGCUUUAUAAGUCGGGGGUGAAAGCCUGUGGCUCAACCACAGAAUUGCCUUCGAUACUGUAGAGCUUGAGACCGGAAGAGGUAAGUGGAACUGCGAGUGUAGAGGUGAAAUUCGUAGAUAUUCGCAAGAACACCAGUGGCGAAGGCGGCUCACUGGCCCGGUACUGACGCUGAGGUGCGAAAGCGUGGGGAGCAAACAGG
rnacentral:rRNA from 1 species